UACGUAGGUGGCAAGCGUUGUCCGGAAUUAUUGGGCGUAAAGCGCGCGCAGGCGGUCCUUUAAGUCUGAUGUGAAAGCCCACGGCUCAACCGUGGAGGGUCAUUGGAAACUGGGGGACUUGAGUACAGAAGAGAAGAGUGGAAUUCCACGUGUAGCGGUGAAAUGCGUAGAGAUGUGGAGGAACACCAGUGGCGAAGGCGGGUUGCUGGGCCGACACUGACGCUGAUGCGCGAAAGCCAGGGGAGCGAACGGG
rnacentral:rRNA from 1 species